GACGAACGCUGGCGGCGUGCCUAAUACAUGCAAGUCGAACGCAGUGGGGACGGGUGAGUAAAACGUGGGUAACCUCCCAUCAGAGGGGAUAACACUGGGAAACAGGUGCUAAACCGAUACGGAUGGCUGGAACCGGGGUGCAUUAGCUAGUUGGGGGGGUAACGGCUCACCAAGGCGACGAUCCAUAGCGGGCCUGAGAGGGGGAUCGGCCACACUGGGACUGAGACACGGCCCAGACUCCUACGGGAGGCAGCAGUGGGGAAUCUUCGGCAAUGGACGAAAGUCUGACCGAGCAACGCCGCGUGAGUGAAGAAGGUUUUCGGAUCGUAAAGCUCUGUUGUUAGAGAAGCGGUAUCUAACCAGAAAGCCACGGCUAACUACGUGCCAGCCGCCGCGGUAAUAC
rnacentral:rRNA from 1 species